rnacentral:rRNA from 1 species
UGGGGAAUUUUGGACAAUGGGGGAAACCCUGAUCCAGCCAUCCCGCGUGUGCGAUGAAGGCCUUCGGGUUGUAAAGCACUUUUGGCAGGAAAGAAACGUCAUGGGUUAAUACCCCGUGAAACUGACGGUACCUGCAUAAUAAGCACCGGCUAACUACGUGCCAGCAGCCGCUGUAAUACGUAGGGUGCAAGCGUUAAUCGGAAUUACUGGGCGUAAAGCGUGCGCAGGCGGUUCGGAAAGAAAGAUGUGAAAUCCCAGAGCUCAACUUUGGAACUGCAUUUUUAACUACCGGGCUAGAGUGUGUCAGAGGGAGGUGGAAUUCCGCGUGUAGCAGUGAAAUGCGUAGAUAUGCGGAGGAACACCGAUGGCGAAGGCAGCCUCCUGGGAUAACACUGACGCUCAUGCACGAAAGCGUGGGGAGCAAACAGG